UACGAGGGAUCCUAGCGUUGUUCGGAAUCAUUGGGCGUAAAGGGUGUGUAGGCGGCCAUGUAAGUCAGUUGUGAAAGCCCCGGGCUCAACCCGGGAAGUGCUUCUGAUACUGCUUGGCUUGAGUAUUGGAGAGGUGAGUGGAAUUCCAGGUGUAGUGGUGAAAUACGUAGAUAUCUGGAGGAACACCUGUGGCGAAAGCGGCUCACUGGACCACAACUGACGCUGAGGCACGAAAGCUAGGGGAGCAAACAGG
rnacentral:rRNA from 1 species